GACUGGGAUAUACAAAGAGAGGGUUCGAUCGUCCGUCGCCUGUGUUGACGAGGCCGCCGCUUCUUGUGUCCCUUAAGUUCGACAAGAGACGGAUUUAAAGUAACGCGGAAGAAUAAAAGAUGGUGUGCAUUCCGUGCAUCGUUAUCCCUUUCCUGCUCUGGGUCUACAAGCGCUUUCUGGACCCUUACGUCUACCCGCUGGUGGCGCCCUUCAUUGCACGACUCUGGCCGAAGAAGGCGGCCCUUGUCACAGCGGGUGGAGGUGCUCAGGGCAAAGUCUUGGAUGGUGGGGACACUGACAAGGCUGAAGGUUCAUCUACAGUCAGUGGGACGACACAGGAACUGGUCAACGAUAAAAGCAGUUCAGAUAAGAAGAUAGACUGACCUAAUACUCCAUAUGGACAUGUAGGGCCAACUUUUGCACCAUUCUUUUGCGCUUGGAAGUCUAUGGAGGCUCAAGUGUAAUUAAUAUAUGAAUGUAGAGUUAUAUUAUUCAUGUGUAUUCUAUCACAGUAAUUGUUUACCUCUGGUAAAUCACUCAAAAACAUGGCAUUUGAUCUGAGUAAUUAAGAAUAUGUAGUAGGCAUGUGUUACAGUUCAUUGUACAUAUUGUUUGUUUGUGUGAAAGGGUUCUUUUUAAUGGUCUAAAUAUCCAACUCAUGGUGUAAUUUUACAAAAGUAUAAUUUUCUCAUGCAGAGUUGUAAGCGAUAUAUGUUGUUAAAUACCAUUUCAUGUUUGAAAUUCUCCCUUCAUACAGUGAAUACAUUUUUAUCGUGCAACAAGAGUAAUGCUUUUUUUCCAUCACAAACUCAUCUGAUAACUUUUGUGUGUGAAUUGAAUGCAGUAAAUUAAUUUAGAUGUUCAUGGUGCUGUUUGUGAAAAUUGCUUAAUCACCAGUAAUCGGUUGAAACAGGAACCUUUAGUAGAUCUUUACAGAUUGUCAAAUGCAACCACAAUUUGGAGCUAGUGGUACCUGAAGGCUGUCGAAAUGUUGGUGCACACUGAAUUUUAUAGCGAUGUAUUAUUUCCAUUCGAUUUGUGGCAAUAUUUAGAUUCACUGUUACUGCUUCGGUAUGUUUACCUGUAAAGAUGCUGCUAAUAGUAAUUUGUAACAAUGUUUGGUUGCAUUGGACCCCUAUAGACAUUUAUAGAGACGAUUAUUGAAGCCAUAACACUUUUCUUUUAUAUUCUUGGUUCUUUCGGUAAAGUCAGGUUGAAGGGAAACAAUAAAAAAUCUAAAACAAUAAAAUUCUCACGACGUUUCGACUGCAACACAAGCAAUCAUCAUCAGGUGUGAAAACCACAGCAAGAAAAUUUGAAAAAAGGUCGUGAGAAUUUUAUUGUUUUAUAUAUUUUUAUUAUUGUUUCCCUUCUACGUGACUUUACCGAAAGAACCAAGAAUAUGAAUCCCUGCAGUCACGAAAGCUUUAAAUCACUUUUCUUUUACUUUGUUUAUUUUAUUUAUCAACACUUUAAAAAAAUCAGCUGCAAAAACCCUGCAUUCCAGUCAUAUUUUGCUACAAUUCACUAUUGGUCUGUAGUGCACAGACUGCAAAAUAAACCUUUGCCCCAGUUAAAAAAAACACAUAUUCCUUACAUUGAUUUUGAAAUUUGUUUAAAAUAUAAAUUUAUGUCAAUGAUGGAGCACGAGUAAAAAUAUGAAGUUAACGUUUGGGUGUAUGUCCCUUGUUAACAUGCAUUCUAUGAAUAAUAAAAUCGAAUUAACAAUUGAUAUGA